rnacentral:rRNA from 1 species
UACGUAGGGUGCGAGCGUUAAUCGGAAUUACUGGGCGUAAAGCGUGCGCAGGCGGUUCGUUGUGUCGGCGGUGAAAGCUCCGGGCUUAACCUGGGAAUGGCCGUUGAAACUGGCGAACUGGAGUGUGGCAGAGGGGGGUGGAAUUCCGCGUGUAGCAGUGAAAUGCGUAGAGAUGCGGAGGAACACCGAUGGCGAAGGCAGCCCCCCUGGGCUAACACUGACGCUCAGGCACGAAAGCGUGGGGAGCAAACAGG